rnacentral:rRNA from 1 species
GACGAACGCUGGCGGCGUGCUUAACACAUGCAAGUCGAACGGAAAGGCCCCUUUGGGGGUACUCGAGUGGCGAACGGGUGAGUAACACGUGAGUAACCUGCCCUUGACUUCGGGAUAACUUCAGGAAACUGGGGCUAAUACCGGAUAGGAAUCCUUGCUGCAUGGUGGGGGUUGGAAAGCUUCAGCGGUUUUGGAUGGACUCGCGGCUUAUCAGCUUGUUGGUGGGGUAGUGGCUUACCAAGGCUUUGACGGGUAGCCGGCCUGAGAGGGCGACCGGUCACAUUGGGACUGAGAUACGGCCCAGACUCCUACGGGAGGCAGCAGUGGGGAAUAUUGCACAAUGGGCGGAAGCCUGAUGCAGCAACGCCGCGUGCGGGAUGACGGCCUUCGGGUUGUAAACCGCUUUCAGCAGGGGCGAAGCUUGUGGUGACGGUACCUGCAGAAGAAGCACCGGCUAACUACGUG